rnacentral:rRNA from 1 species
CCUACGGGAGGCAGCAGUAGGGAAUCUUCCACAAUGGGCGAAAGCCUGAUGGAGCAACGCCGCGUGGGUGAAGAAGGUUUUCGGAUCGUAAAACCCUGUUGUUAGUGAAGAAAGUGCGUGAGAGUAACUGUUCACGUUUCGACGGUAUCUAACCAGAAAGCCACGGCUAACUACGUGCCAGCAGCCGCGGUAAUACGUAGGUGGCAAGCGUUAUCCGGAUUUAUUGGGCGUAAAGGGAACGCAGGCGGUCUUUUAAGUAUGAUGUGAAAGCCUUCGGCUUAACCGGAGUAGUGCAUUGGAAACUGGGAGACGUGAGUGCAGAAGAGGAGAGUGGAACUCCAUGUGUAGCGGUGAAAUGCGUAGAUAUAUGGAAGAACACCAGUGGCGAAAGCGGCUCUCUGGUCUGUAACUGACGCUGAGGUUCGAAAGCGUGGGUAGCAAACAGGAUUAGAUACCCUAGUAGUC